AGUGAACGCUGGCGGUAGGCCUAACACAUGCAAGUCGAACGGCAGCACAGUAAGAGCUUGCUCUUACGGGUGGCGAGUGGCGGACGGGUGAGGAAUACAUCGGAAUUUACUUUUUCGUGGGGGAUAACGUAGGGAAACUUACGCUAAUACCGCAUACGACCUACGGGUGAAAGCAGGGGAUCUUCGGACCUUGCGCGAUUGAAUGAGCCGAUGUCGGAUUAGCUAGUUGGCGGGGUAAAGGCCCACCAAGGCGACGAUCCGUAGCUGGUCUGAGAGGAGGAUCAACCACACUGGAACUGAGACACGGUCCAGACUCCUACGAGAGGCAACAGUGGGGAAUAUUAGACAAUGGGCGCAAGCCUGAUCCAGCCAUACCGCGUGGGAGAAGAAGGCCUUCGGGUUGUAAAGCCCUUUUGUUGGGAAAGAAAAGCAGCAGGUUAAUACCCCGCUGUUCUGACAGUACCCAAAGAAUAAGCACCGGCUAACUUCGUG
rnacentral:rRNA from 1 species